UCGUACGCUUCUUUUUCCCCGGAGCUUGCUCCACCGGAAAAAGAAGAGUGGCGAACGGGUGAGUAACACGUGGGUAACCUGCCCAUCAGAAGGGGAUAACACUUGGAAACAGGUGCUAAUACCGUAUAACAAUCGAAACCGCAUGGUUUUGAUUUGAAAGGCGCUUUCGGGUGUCGCUGAUGGAUGGACCCGCGGUGCAUUAGCUAGUUGGUGAGGUAACGGCUCACCAAGGCCACGAUGCAUAGCCGACCUGAGAGGGUGAUCGGCCACAUUGGGACUGAGACACGGCCCAAACUCCUACGGGAGGCAGCAGUAGGGAAUCUUCGGCAAUGGACGAAAGUCUGACCGAGCAACGCCGCGUGAGUGAAGAAGGUUUUCGGAUCGUAAAACUCUGUUGUUAGAGAAGAACAAGGAUGAGAGUAACUGUUCAUCCCUUGACGGUAUCUAACCAGAAAGCCACGGCUAACUACGUGCCAGCAGCCGCGGUAAUACGUAGGUGGCAAGCGUUGUCCGGAUUUAUUGGGCGUAAAGCGAGCGCAGGCGGUUUCUUAAGUCUGAUGUGAAAGCCCCCGGCUCAACCGGGGAGGGUCAUUGGAAACUGGGAGACUUGAGUGCAGAAGAGGAGAGUGGAAUUCCAUGUGUAGCGGUGAAAUGCGUAGAUAUAUGGAGGAACACCAGUGGCGAAGGCGGCUCUCUGGUCUGUAACUGACGCUGAGGCUCGAAAGCGUGGGGAGCAAACAGGAUUAGAUACCCUGGUAGUCCACGCCGUAAACGAUGAGUGCUAAGUGUUGGAGGGUUUCCGCCCUUCAGUGCUGCAGCUAACGCAUUAAGCACUCCGCCUGGGGAGUACGACCGCAAGGUUGAAACUCAAAGGAAUUGACGGGGGCCCGCACAAGCGGUGGAGCAUGUGGUUUAAUUCGAAGCAACGCGAAGAACCUUACCAGGUCUUGACAUCCUUUGACCACUCUAGAGAUAGAGCUUCCCCUUCGGGGGCAAAGUGACAGGUGGUGCAUGGUUGUCGUCAGCUCGUGUCGUGAGAUGUUGGGUUAAGUCCCGCAACGAGCGCAACCCUUAUUGUUAGUUGCCAUCAUUUAGUUGGGCACUCUAGCAAGACUGCCGGUGACAAACCGGAGGAAGGUGGGGAUGACGUCAAAUCAUCAUGCCCCUUAUGACCUGGGCUACACACGUGCUACAAUGGGAAGUACAACGAGUCGCGAAGUCGCGAGGCUAAGCUAAUCUCUUAAAGCUUCUCUCAGUUCGGAUUGUAGGCUGCAACUCGCCUACAUGAAGCCGGAAUCGCUAGUAAUCGCGGAUCAGCACGCCGCGGUGAAUACGUUCCCGGGCCUUGUACACACCGCCCGUCACACCACGAGAGUUUGUAACACCCGAAGUCGGUGAGGUAACCUU
rnacentral:rRNA from 1 species